CUUGAUGUGCUGAUCACCGUUCGUUUAAAGUGGUUCGGAAUGCACCAGCCAGAAUUGCCAACUAUUUCUCCUCGACGGUUGCAUCAAGCUAGCAGACUUACAGGGCCGGGUCUCGGGGGGGCAGCAGCUUGAACAGGGAAGCCCGGACUUUCCUGCACUUCAUCCAACCCUUCCGUGGGGAUCCAGAGGCCGGCCGGGAUUCAUCAUCCGGUUCCUCUAGCAUGUCAUCUCCGGGGUCUCCUCUCGGAUCACCUCACCAGGGAGGCAUUCGAACCAGAUGCCCGAGCCACCUCAUACGACUCCUCUCAAUAUGUUC